rnacentral:rRNA from 3 species
CCUACGGGAGGCAGCAGUAGGGAAUCUUCGGCAAUGGACGAAAGUCUGACCGAGCAACGCCGCGUGAGUGAAGAAGGUUUUCGGAUCGUAAAACUCUGUUGUUAGAGAAGAACAAGGACGUUAGUAACUGAACGUCCCCUGACGGUAUCUAACCAGAAAGCCACGGCUAACUACGUGCCAGCAGCCGCGGUAAU